CUCACACACACCACUCACAUAUAUACACAUACGCCACUUGUGUGUAUUUGUAAGAAAGUAUGUAUGUGCACCUUCACUUGUGCAAUCACACACCAUACACAUCACAGCCACACUCACACAUGCACACACCUUCACUCACACAUGCACACAUGUACUCAUAUACACAUACUUUCACACAAUCACACUACACACAUCACACGCCACUCAUACAUUCAUGCUCACACAUGCACAUACACUCACAUACACCAUACCCAC
rnacentral:lncRNA from 1 species